AAGGAGAAGAACUGGGAGCCCGGAGCGGAGCGUGUUUCAGAGGUGCGUAUAAAAUCCCAGGGGCGCCAGGAGGCAGCAGCGACGGCGCAGCGUGGGACGGCCAGGCGCGACGGGAGGGAAGCAACCGGUUGCAGUCCGGCCUCCUGUACCUGGCUGGCCCGGGCUGGGGCUCCAAGCUUUCCAGCCAAACAUGUGAAGCAAAGUAGGUUAUAGUUUUGACAAAGAGUGGCGUUUC
ensembl:misc_RNA